rnacentral:rRNA from 1 species
GACGAACGCUGGCGGCGUGCCUAAUACAUGCAAGUUGAGCGCUGAAGGUUGGUACUUGUACCAACUGGAUGAGCAGCGAACGGGUGAGUAACGCGUGGGGAAUCUGCCUUUGAGCGGGGGACAACAUUUGGAAACGAAUGCUAAUACCGCAUAAAAACUUUAAACACAAGUUUUAAGUUUGAAAGAUGCAAUUGCAUCACUCAAAGAUGAUCCCGCGUUGUAUUAGCUAGUUGGUGAGGUAAAGGCUCACCAAGGCGAUGAUACAUAGCCGACCUGAGAGGGUGAUCGGGCACAUUGGGACUGAGACACGGCCCAAACUCCUACGGGAGGCAGCAGUAGGGAAUCUUCGGCAAUGGACGAAAGUCUGACCGAGCAACGCCGCGUGAGUGAAGAAGGUUUUCGGAUCGUAAAACUCUGUUGGUAGAGAAGAACGUUGGUGAGAGUGGAAAGCUCAUCAAGUGACGGUAACUACCCAGAAAGGGACGGCUAACUACGUG